rnacentral:rRNA from 1 species
CCUACACGACCGUACCGCAAACCGACACUGGUGCGCGAGAUGAGUAUUCUAAGGCGCUUGAGAGAACUCAGGAGAAGGAACUCGGCAAAUUGACACCGUAACUUCGGAAGAAGGUGUGCCUUUAGUAGGUGAAGUCCCUCGCGGAUAGAGCCCAAUGAGGUUGCAAAAAAUCGGUGGCUGCGACUGUUUAUUAAAAACACAGCACUCUGCAAACACGAAAGUGGACGUAUAGGGUGUGACGCCUGCCCGGUGCUGGAAGAUUAAAUGAUGGGGUGCAAGCUCUUGAUUGAAGUCCCAGUAAACGGCGGCCGUAACAAUAACGGUCCUAAGGUAGCGAAAUUCCUUGUCGGGUAAGUUCCGACCUGCACGAAUGGCGUAACGAUGGCCACACUGUCUCCUCCUGAGACUCAGCGAAGUUGAAAUGUUUGUGAUGAUGCAAUCUCCCCGCGGAAAGACGGAAAGACCCCAUGAACCUUUACUGUAGCUUUGUAUUGGACUUUGAACAGAUCUGUGUAGGAUAGGUGGGAGGCUUUGAAGCAGGGUCGCUAGAUCUUGUGGAGCCAACGUUGAAAUACCACCCUGGUGUGUUUGAGGUUCUAACCUAGGCCCGUAAUCCGGGUUGGGGACAGUGCAUGGUAGGCAGUUUGACUGGGGCGGUCUCCUCCCAAAGUGUAACGGAGGAGUUCGAAGGUACGCUAGUUACGGUCGGACAUCGUGACGAUAGUGCAAUGGCAUAAGCGUGCUUAACUGCGAGACUGACAAGUCGAGCAGAUGCGAAAGCAGGACAUAGUGAUCCGGUGGUUCUGUAUGGAAGGGCCAUCGCUCAACGGAUAAAAGGUACUCUGGGGAUAACAGGCUGAUACCGCCCAAGAGUUCAUAUCGACGGCGGUGUUUGGCACCUCGAUGUCGGCUCAUCUCAUCCUGGGGCUGUAGCCGGUCCCAAGGGUAUGGCUGUUCGCCAUUUAAAGAGGUACGUGAGCUGGGUUUAAAACGUCGUGAGACAGUUUGGUCCCUAUCUUCCGUGGGCGCUGCAGAUUUGAGGAAGCCUGCUCCUAGUACGAGAGGACCGGAGUGGACGCACCUCUGGUGUAUCGGUUGUCACGCCAGUGGCAUUGCCGAGUAGCUAUGUGCGGAAGAGAUAACCGCUGAAAGCAUCUAAGCGGGAAACUCGUUUCAAGAUGAGAUCUGCCGGGGCCUUGAGCCCCCUGAAGAGUCGUUCAAGACCAGGACGUUGAUAGGUCGGGUGUGGAAGCGCAGUAAUGCGUUAAGCUAACCGAUACUAAUUGCUCGUGCGGCUUGACCU